AGCAGAUGCUGCCAUGCUUCCUGUACAGCCUGCAGAACCAAAAAGUUUGCCUACCCUUGCACCGGAAGCAGGAGGGAAAGAGAUGGGCUUGUUGGAAACCAGGAAAGGAGAAAUUGACAGAGCUGCAGGGAGCAAUCCCUUUCCACCUUCACCCAGGACUGAGAUCAUGUCAUACAAAAGCCCUGUGUUGUUCAGAGGACCAGAGGGGCUGGAGUGGAGUGAAGUGGUGUGAUCUCGGCUUACUGCAA
rnacentral:lncRNA from 1 species